UGCAAAUUAUUUCUUAGUCCCAUGCUUUUAUGGAUUCAAAACGAUCAAAAAAGGAUGAUCAUGGACAAGUGUGAUGUAAAGGACAAAAAAUAAUCUAUGUAAAGGAUCAGAAACCCAUCCUGGAUAAAGCCUCUUUCAGUUGCUGAAACAACAGCAGGGGAUGAAGUCAUGCUGGAUGCCUCAACAAGUGCCUGUUGUGCUGUGGUGUGAAUCACCCUCAGAGGCAGGAACCUGUAAUUUCCACAUGCAGAAUGUCCAAUUUCAAUGCAGUGAAAAGUGAGAGGGAGGAGAGCACCCGGGGCUGAAUCACUCACACACCAAAGUGCCAACAGGUACUGGCAGAGCAGAAUAUCAUCAUCAGCCUCCUCAGAGUCCAGCAGCUGCUGCCAAAACCAACUUCCUUUGGUGAGAGAGUGACCCACCCUGGUCCUGCAGCCCACUUCAGCCAGAAUCUCCAAAUGGACAAGCCCAGCUCUGGUGGCAUCAGUGAUGGACUGACGAGCCCUGGGAGCAGGACUGACUCCAAACCAGGGCAGAGAAAGCUGAGACAUCCUCCAGGCUCUCCUGGCCCUGCAUUGGAAUAACCUGGAGUUCAUCACUGCAGUUCUUGCUGCCUUUCACACACUGCUCUCAAUCUUUAUGAGUUACGUGGGUUCCAGGUGUCCCUCAAGCUUUGGCUUCUCGUGCAGCGGGGCCACAGUGGUUGUGUUUCCCUCUCUUCAUGGCUUGCCACUGAUGAAGUGUCCCUGUUAGUGGUGACUUACAGCCUCUGCCAUGCUUGGCAGAUUUCCUGUUGCUCCAUGUGUUAUUUGUUAUCAAAGGAAACUGCAAAUUUUUCCAGGUGACAAAGCUUAGAGAGCAAAUCUGUCUUCUCUGUGCUGGAGCCAAGGCAUUUCUGCCCCCUGCCUUGUUCUGCUUUCAAUGCAAUAAUAUUUUUGUGAAGGCACAGAGCAGGGCAAAGAAGGAGAAGGGAUGCAGAGGUUGGGUGGGAACUGAGCUGAGAAGGCUCAAAAAAGAAAAGUGAACAAUAAUUAUCUGAUUGCUUGGAAUGUGGUUUGGAGGUUGCUUUACCAGCAGGUGCAUUUUUGAUUGGUUCCAUGUGAAUUGUUUUGAAUGAAUGACCAAUCCCAGUCCAGCUGUGUCAGGACUUUGGUGUGUCAGGGGUUUUUAUUAUUCAUUCUUUUCUAGCCUCCUGAUGUCUCCUUUCUCUAUCUUUA